AUUAUAUUGGCAGAUUAGUGCAUUGAAUUUAGAAUUCAAAUAUGUAAUAUUUUACAUAUAAUA
rnacentral:tRNA from 1 species